rnacentral:rRNA from 1 species
AGAGUUUGAUCAUGGCUCAGGACGAACGCUGGCGGCGUGCUUAACACAUGCAAGUCGAACGGUGAUCUUGAGAGCUUGCUCUUGGGUGAUCAGUGGCGAACGGGUGAGUAACACGUGAGCAACCUGCCCCAGACUCUGGAAUAACCCCGGGAAAUCGGAGCUAAUACCGGAUACGACACUGGCCCGCAUGGGUAUGGUGUGGAAAGUUUUUCGGUCUGGGAUGGGCUCGCGGCCUAUCAGCUUGUUGGUGAGGUAGUGGCUCACCAAGGCGACGACGGGUAGCCGGCCUGAGAGGGCGACCGGCCACACUGGGACUGAGACACGGCCCAGACUCCUACGGGAGGCAGCAGUGGGGAAUAUUGCACAAUGGGCGCAAGCCUGAUGCAGCGACGCCGCGUGAGGGAUGACGGCCUUCGGGUUGUAAACCUCUUUCAGCAGGGAAGAAGCGCAAGUGACGGUACCUGCAGAAGAAGCACCGGCUAACUACGUGCCAGCAGCCGCGGUAAUACGUAGGGUGCGAGCGUUGUCCGGAAUUAUUGGGCGUAAAGAGCUUGUAGGCGGUUUGUCGCGUCUGCUGUGAAAAUCCGGGGCUCAACCCCGGACUUGCAGUGGGUACGGGCAGGCUAGAGUGUGGUAGGGGAGACUGGAAUUCCUGGUGUAGCGGUGAAAUGCGCAGAUAUCAGGAGGAACACCGAUGGCGAAGGCAGGUCUCUGGGCCACUACUGACGCUGAGAAGCGAAAGCAUGGGGAGCGAACAGGAUUAGAUACCCUGGUAGUCCAUGCCGUAAACGUUGGGAACUAGGUGUGGGUCUCAUUCCACGAGAUCCGUGCCGCAGCUAACGCAUUAAGUUCCCCGCCUGGGGAGUACGGCCGCAAGGCUAAAACUCAAAGGAAUUGACGG